GGGGCUGUAACUUAGUGGUAGAGAGUUUGUUUUGCAUGCAUGAAGUCCCAGGUUCAAUCCCUGGUGCUCCA
rnacentral:tRNA from 1 species